AGUGAACGCUGGCGGCAGGCCUAAUACAUGCAAGUCGAACGGCAGCACGGCAGAGCUUGCUCUGUGGGUGGCGAGUGGCGGACGGGUGAGGAAUACAUGGGAAUCUGCCCAGUCGUGGGGGAUAACGUAGGGAAACUUACGCUAAUACCGCAUGCGCCCUUCGGGGAAAGGCCGGGACCUUCGGGCCUGGCGCGAUUGGAUGAGCCCAUGUCGGAUUAGCUAGUUGGCGGGGUAAUGGCCCACCAAGGCGACGAUCCGUAGCUGGUCUGAGAGGAUGAUCAGCCACACUGGAACUGAGACACGGUCCAGACUCCUACGGGAGGCAGCAGUAGGGAAUAUUGGACAAUGGGCGCAAGGCCUGAUCCAGCCAUGCCGCGUGAGUGAAGAAGGCCCUCGGGUUGUAAAGCUCUUUUUGUCCGGAAAGAAAAGCGCCGGGUUAAUACCCUGGUGUCCUGACGGUACCGGAAGAAUAAGCACCGGCUAACUCGUGCCAGCAGCCGACGG
rnacentral:rRNA from 1 species